GACGAACGCUGGCGGCGUGCUUAACACAUGCAAGUCGAGCGGAGCGGCGAACGGGAGAGUAACGGGUGAGUAACUGCCCCCCUCCCUGGGAUAACAGUAGGAAACGGCUGCUAAUACCGGAAAGUGGGGGAUGACGCGCGUCCUAUCAGCGUGUUGGUGGGGUAGUGGCCUACAAAGGCGACGACGGGUAGCCGGGGUGGGAGGGCGAACGGCCACAUUGGGCUGAGAUACGGCCGAAACGCCUACGGGAGGUAGCAGUGGGGAAUAUUGGGGAAUGGGGGAAAGGCGGACGGGGCAAUGCGCGUGAGUGAUGUGGGCCUUCGGGUUGUACAGCUCUUUUAAUCGGGACGGCUAAUAGUGUGAGGAUUUGACGGUACCGGAAGAGAAAGCCACGGCUAACUACGUGCCAGCAGCCGCGGUAAUUC
rnacentral:rRNA from 1 species